rnacentral:rRNA from 1 species
UACGAAGGGUGCAAGCGUUACUCGGAAUUACUGGGCGUUAAAGCGUGCGUAGGUGGUGAGUUAAGUCUGUCGUGAAAGCCCCGGGCUCAACCUGGGAAUGGCGAUGGAUACUGGCUCGCUAGAGUGCGGUAGAGGAAGGUGGGAAUUCCCGGAUGUAGUGGUGAAAUGCGUAGACUAUCGGGAGGAACACCAGCGGCGAAGGCGGCCUGCUGGCUAGUGGCUGACACUGAGGCG